UUAUUGCAUUGACAGGAGAGGGAGGCAAGAAGGGUUUCCAGAUUUUGCCAAAAGCCAACCUCAAAGUAGGUUCCCGAUUGUCUGUUUGUGACUGAAGAUUUUAAUGCACACAUUUCCCCAAAUGCGGGAAUCUCGACUGCAUAAUUUGUGGUAGUGCGGGACUGCAUGCGCGCUUUCCCCUG
rnacentral:snRNA from 1 species